CAGCCGAGCGUUACUAAUUGCCCGAUGACUUUCUUUUAUCCGCCUUCAAUGGUUUAUAUAUCCGUUUAGCUUCACUAUUUAUAUAAUAGACCGCUGAAUUUACUUUUGUACAUUAUGUCUGCCUUAUUCAGGUGACUAUAGCAUCAGGGUUCCACCUCUUCCCAUUCCGAACAGAGAAGUUAAGCCUGAUCACGCCGAUGGUACUGCGUAACAGUGGGAGAGUAGGUAGUCGCCGUUUUUUUCAGAUGGUUCAUCCC
rnacentral:rRNA from 1 species